GUACACUCCUGCGGGAGGCAGCAGUGGGGAAUUUUGGACAAUGGGCGAAAGCCUGAUCCAGCCAUGCCGCGUGCAGGAUGAAGGCCUUCGGGUUGUAAACUGCUUUUGUACGGAACGAAACGGCCUUUUCUAAUAAAGAGGGCUAAUGACGGUACCGUAAGAAUAAGCACCGGCUAACUACGUGCCAGCAGCCCCGGUAAUACGUAGGGUGCAAGCGUUAAUCGGAAUUACUGGGCGUAAAGCGUGCGCAGGCGGUUAUGUAAGACAGUUGUGAAAUCCCCGGGCUCAACCUGGGAACUGCAUCUGUGACUGCAUAGCUAGAGUACGGUAGAGGGGGAUGGAAUUCCGCGUGUAGCAGUGAAAUGCGUAGAUAUGCGGAGGAACACCGAUGGCGAAGGCAAUCCCCUGGACCUGUACUGACGCUCAUGCACGAAAGCGUGGGGAGCAAACAGGAUUAGAAACCCCGGUAGUCCCAUGA
rnacentral:rRNA from 1 species